rnacentral:tRNA from 2 species
GCUGAUGUAGCUCAGAUGGAUAGAGCAGCUCACUCCUAACGAGCAGGUCCCCAGUUCGACUCUGGGCAUCAGCA